GAAUCAGAGACUGGGAGAGGGAGAGGGUUCAGUUUGGGUCCAGCCAAACCCUUAAUUUUUAACUCCUUGGGUUUAUUCGAUGGGUUGUUGUGAUGUUGUAAUCCCUCUAGAAAGUCAGGCAGUCCUUUGGGUUACCCGAGUAAAAUGUUGAGCGCGCCCGUCGAGGGUCCAAGGAAGUUGCUGGGAUUGGAGUCAUGUGAGCUGGUGGAGCUGGCCUGAAUCCCUUGGAGGGAGUGUCGAGGCGCACAGCCUCUGGAGAGGCUGAGGUAACGCUGGCUCAUUCCCCAGCCUGAGAUCAGAGGGAACCUUCCUGGGUGUGGGCUCCGACUGACUAAACGUGCAGUCACUGAGUCCCUGAGUGACUGGGAAGAUUAGACCUUCUCAGCCUGAGAUAAGCACGCACACCCAACGGCAGGAAAAAAAAAACCCGAAAAAUGGAGCCCGACAUUGAUGAGGACUCUUGGCAACUUAAAAUGUUGAUUUGGUGAUCUAAUUUGUACAUAUGUAUGUAACGCACGCCCCCUCCCCAACUCCCAACACACACACACACACAUUGUCCUCUAAAUCAUGUGAAAUCUAAAGAAUCAUCUCUUGGAAAUAUUACGUAAAGUUAGCAAGUCGUCUUGAACUAUGCACUGAGAUUAGGUAAAAUGUGCCCAAAUAGGGAUACUUACAAAUGAAGCUCAUAAACAUGUCAACAAGAUUUGUAUAACAGUACAAACAGCUUGCUUACUAAACAGUUAAAGUCGAAUUUUGAAGGAAGAGGAGCAAACUAAAGCAUCGGUUAACGUUUGCAGUCAUUUAAAACUAAAAGAAUCCAAGGGAUGGGAAACAAAGUUGCCUGAUGGGGUAUAAAUUAACAGCAUUCUUAAGAGAAAGGAUGGGAAGUAUAUAGCAAACUUUUGGAAAUGUGCCUCUGGUUCCAGUUAUUCUGAUUUUUAAAUCUCACAUACAGUCUUUUAAAGCAUGAACCAAGAUAUUAAUGGCAGCGUUGUUUACAAUAUCAAAGUUUUGAUGACCACUAAACUGUCCGACAUUAAAGAGAUUGGACAAACUCCUCUGUUUCCUCAUUUAUAAGAAACGGAAAUGACAAGCCAUUGAAGAUGAAAUAAAUUACUAGAAGCAAAUCCCCUGUAAUAGUGUCUAGUAUAUAGUAAGCACUCAAGUGGAAUCAAUAGUUAUAAUUGUACUUAUUUGGCCAUUGAAAGUAAGAGCAUAGAUGUGUAUUUACAUAGACAUCUGAGUGCAUAAGAGUUUAAAAGGCUGUAAAGACUGACUGAAGAUGAGCCUCAGUGAUGGAGUACUUGUUUAGAAUGUGAGAGGCUCUGGGUUCUGACCUUGGCACUG
ensembl:processed_transcript